UGUGUGAGCGAGUGGUUGCUGUUUACGACGUGUUCAUAUAUCGAUUUGUAGUGCUGUAAUGUGCAAAUUAGCGGACUUUAUAGCGGCUCUCUAUUUUCCGUCGUUGUCUUUCGAGCAGCGCCUGUUGUUCCGGUAAAAAUCGAGUUGAAUGAAUCGCCACAGCCCCAACGUAUAUCGCGCAGUGUUGACCAAGUCCAGCAGGAAUUCUGGCAUGGUAUGUGGCUGCACGGAGGAUUCCGAAAAAGAAAAACAACAACAUGGCUGAUAGGAUGUUGCUGCCCAGGGAGUCCUGGCCGAAGAGGUUUACUCAUUCCAGAAGCAAGAAUUGUACAAUUGUAAGGCGAAUGGAAAUAAACUGACAUCGACU